rnacentral:tRNA from 1 species
UUUGGGGAUGUAGCUCAGUGGUAGAGUGCUUGCCUAGCAUACUCAGAAACCUGGGUUCGAUUCCCAGAACCACAAAA